rnacentral:rRNA from 1 species
UACAGAGGUCUCAAGCGUUGUUCGGAUUCAUUGGGCGUAAAGCGCACGUAGGCGGAUUGUUAAGUCAGGGGUGAAAUCCUGGAGCUCAACUCCAGAACUGCCUUUGAUACUGGCGAUCUCGAGUCCGGGAGAGGUGAGUGGAACUGCGAGUGUAGAGGUGAAAUUCGUAGAUAUUCGCAAGAACACCAGUGGCGAAGGCGGCUCACUGGCCCGGUACUGACGCUGAGGUGCGAAAGCGUGGGGAGCAAACAGG